rnacentral:rRNA from 1 species
GUGGGGAAUCUUGCGCAAUGGGCGAAAGCCUGACGCAGCCAUGCCGCGUGAAUGAUGAAGGUCUUAGGAUUGUAAAAUUCUUUCACCGGGGACGAUAAUGACGGUACCAGAGGAAUAAGCCCCGGCUAACUCCGUGCCAGCAGCCGCGGUAAGACGGAGGGGGCAAGCGCUGUUCGGAAUUAUUGGGCGUAAAGGGCUCGUAGGCGGAUCUGUAAGUCUGGCGUGAAAUCUCCACCGCUUAACGGGGAGCUGCCGCUGGAUACUGCAGAUCUGGAGUUCGGUAGAGGAUCGUGGAAUUUCGGGUGUAGCGGUGGAAUGCGUAGAUAUCCGAAAGAACACCAGUGGCGAAGGCGACGAUCUGGGCCUGCACUGACGCUGAGGAGCGAAAGCUAGGGGAGCAAACGGGAUUAGAUACCCUUGUAGUCC